AAGUCGUAACAAGGUUUCCGUAGGUGAACCUGCGGAAGGAUCAUUACUGCUUGCUUACGGUCUCGCUCGGGCAACCGAGCGGGGCCGGGCACGCUACCCUUGCCUAUGCAUACCUGUUGUUACUCCCUCGGCGGGGAAACCCGCCGCUGGGGACACGUAAACUCUCUUGUAUAAAGCAUCAAACCUUCUGAACAAAAAUUAAAUAAUCACAACUUUCAACAAUGGAUCUCUUGGUUCUG
rnacentral:misc_RNA from 1 species